UACGUAGGGGGCAAGCGUUGUCCGGAUUUACUGGGCGUAAAGAGCGCGUAGGCGGAACGUUAAGUCCGGUUUGAAAGCCCCCGGCUCAACCGGGGAGAGUGGCUGGAAACUGGCGUUCUUGAGGGCGAUAGAGGAGUGUGGAAUUCCUGGUGUAGCGGUGAAAUGCGUAGAUAUCGGGAGGAACACCAGUGGCGAAGGCGACUUCCUGGCCUGUUCUUGACGCUGAGGCGCGAAAGCUAGGGGAGCAAACGGG
rnacentral:rRNA from 1 species